GCGGAGGCGGCCUACGCAGCCCUGCAGGGAGCUGAAGUGGAAGGAACCAAGUUUGUGCUGCAGCUGAAGCACCCUGACCAUGCAACCCCGGCCCCUGGUCGGGCUGGCCCUGGCAAUGCCCCGCAGCCCAUGGGGAGGGAGCCGGUGCGAGUGCCCCCCACCCUGGAGUGCCAUUUCUGGCGGAACGCCGGCUGCAGCUACGGGGCCGACUGCCGUUUCCGCCACCUGCCCCAGAGCAAGGGGCUGGACAAGAAGCUGGCUCAGCACUAGGGCCCUGCCCUCCCCUGGCCCCGUCGUUGCAGGGGCCUGGAGGCCGGAUGUCCCCAGGCUGACAGCUGGCUCCUGCCUGGCCACGCUGCCUUGUGAGCACACGAGUGACUGGAUGGCCACGGUGCUGGGCCUUCCCGAGGCCCCUCCAGCUGCUGCCUGUUGCCUCCCCGUGACCCAGCGCCAGCCAGUGGGCGUCACCCCCCCGGCGUAGGGCUGGACUCGCUGCUGUGUGGAUCGGGCCCUGGCUGGCUGUGCUGCGGGUUCCCCUUCCCUAGGAAGGAGCCAUGUGAGCUGGGUGGGGCACCCUCCCAGGGGCUGCCUCGGGGUUGGUUGGCCUGGAGGGAAUGGCAGGGAGGGCUGGAAUUGCCCAGUGGGGGGGCACUGUGCCCCACACCUAUGGGGGCACUGGAGCUGGCUGCAGCCCCCUUUGCCUUAUUAUGGAGUGAGGCCUAGGGGUACUACGACUCCCAGCAUGCCCUGGAGCCAUGCUGUUGGGAUGAAGGGCAGUGUGGCAUGCUGGGAGUUGUAGUCUCCACCCCCCAGGCUGCUCUUCCAUGGCUAUUUCAUACCAAAAAUUGUCCCGGGGCAGGUUCCUCCCUCAGCCACGCUCUCUGCUUCCUGCCUUCUGAUUGGCUGAGCCCCGGGUCUGUUACACUGACUCUGCCCUGCUAGGGCCUGUCUGCGCUGCGAUGAUUUGCGCCCUCUGGGGCACCAGGCACUGGCCCCUGUCGGCAGACAGGAUACUGGGCUAGAUGGACCAUUGGCCUGACCCAGUCUGGCCCCUCUCCUGUAGCUCUUUGCGGGGGCUGGCUGGGUGGGGAGCGUGGCCCAGGGGCAGGGUCGGGCUGCGGCCCCUGUCCAUUAGAGCCACCCCC